rnacentral:tRNA from 1 species
AGGGAUGUAGCUCAGAUGGUAGAGCGCUCCGCUUAGCAUGCGAGAGGUACUGGGAUCGAUAACACCAGCUUCUCCA